GAUGAACGCUGGCGGCGUGCUUAACACAUGCAAGUCGAACGAAGCACUUUAUUUGAUUUCCUUCGGGACUGAUUAUUUUGUGACUGAGUGGCGGACGGGUGAGUAACGCGUGGGUAACCUGCCUUGUACAGGGGGAUAACAGUUGGAAACGGCUGCUAAUACCGCAUAAGCGCACAGCAUCGCAUGAUGCAGUGUGAAAAACUCCGGUGGUAUAAGAUGGACCCGCGUUGGAUUAGCUAGUUGGUGAGGUAACGGCCCACCAAGUCGACGAUCCAUAGCCGACCUGAGAGGGUGACCGGCCACAGUGGGACUGAGACACGGCCCAAACUCCUACGGGAGGCAGCAGUGGGGAAUAUUGCACAAUGGGCGAAAGCCUGAUGCAGCGACGCCGCGUGAGCGAAGAAGUAUUUCGGUAUGUAAAGCUCUAUCAGCAGGGAAGAUAAUGACGGUACCUGACUAAGAAGCACCGGCUAAAUACGUG
rnacentral:rRNA from 1 species